CUUGUACUCCCUCCGUCUGAAAAUACUUGUCAUUGAAAUGGAUGUAUCUAGAUGUAUUUUAGUUCUAGACACAUCCAUUUUGAUGACAAGUAAUUCCGUACGGAGGGAGUACUUG
rfam:Triticum aestivum genome assembly, contig: Triticum_aestivum_CS42_TGACv1_scaffold_246861_3B